UACGUACCGUACGAACGUUAUUCGGAAUCACUGGGCUUAAAGAGUCCGUAGGCGGCUUUAAAGGUGAGGUGUGAAAUCCCACGGCUUAACCGUGGAAUUGCGCUUCAAACCAUAAGGCUUGAGGGAGAUAGAGGAAAGCGGAACUGAUGGUGGAGCGGUGAAAUGCGUUGAUAUCAUCAGGAACACCGGUGGCGAAGGCGGCUUUCUGGGUCUCUUCUGACGCUGAGGGACGAAAGCUAGGGGAGCGAACGGG
rnacentral:rRNA from 1 species